UACGAAGGGGGCUAGCGUUGUUCGGAAUUACUGGGCGUAAAGGGUGCGUAGGCGGCUUCCUAAGUUUGAUGUGAAAUCCUGGGGCUCAACCCUGGAACUGCAUUGAAUACUGGGAGGCUAGAGUACUGGAGAAGAAACUGGAAUUUACGGUGUAGCAGUGAAAUGCGUAGAGAUCGUAAGGAAGACCAGUGGCGAAGGCGAGUUUCUGGACAGUUACUGACGCUGAGGCACGAAGGCCAGGGGAGCAAACGGG
rnacentral:rRNA from 1 species